rnacentral:piRNA from 1 species
UGAGGAUAUUCAGCCUUGGAGUCACAGA